rnacentral:siRNA from 1 species
UGUGCACAAGUAAGUAACUACA